UUCUUCGAUCAACCGGUUACUCGAGAACGGACGGGUCCAUUUUACGCUCAAUUUCCGCAAGUCAGGUAAGUGCUUCGUCGGGUGGGCAGCCUGCCCGCAGCCACGGAAAUCGCUUUUACGCGGUAAGUCGGUCGAUUGCGAAUCAACCGGUUACAAUUAAUGGAAAUUCUCCCUCCGCGUGAGGAAAGCGAGUACCAGAGGUACUACUACUCUCGUCUGGGUAAUGAAACUCCUACCAUGGAUAUCUCCCGUCAAAUUCCAGAUAUAAUUAUUUAUUAAUUUAACUGUACCAUUUUCGAGCGUUAUAACGUUGCCCGACGGUUUGAGAAAUUUGAACAAAUUGCGAAACGUUAUAGAAUAUUUUUACCUUUUCUUUUAUUUUCUGUAUUAUCGUUACAAUUAUACUCUUCUCUUCUGAUCUCGUAAAAAUUUAACAAUCGUGGAAUAAUUAUUUUUCUUUCUUUUUUAUUCUUUCUCUCUCUCUCUUUUCACGAUAGAUAGAUUCAUAAUUAAUGAAAAGAUUAUUACGGUAAUAAUAUUAUUAAUUAACGAUUAAACCAUCGAGUUAGUUACUAACUAUUUAUACGUUUGAGAAAUGGUUCGGAAUAUUGGUUAAAUACGUUUCAAGUUUGUCCAUGAUUUCGAACUACCCGAGUUCGUAAUUUCUUUUGCAAAAGAAAUUCGAUUACUGCGUUUACCUUAGUGACAACAACUUGAAAAUAUCGUCUUUAAUCGCAUCCAUGGAAUUUAGGAAAGCUUUUAAACUCAUACUCGUUUACUCGACAAUACCUUUUACUUUAUUCCUCAUAGCAAUUUUUACGUCAAAGUAUUGUAUCGUAGUUUUGUUGAUUCGUACGGGUGUUGUUAGACGUAGUUUUUUUUUCUUUUCUUUUUUUUUUCUUACAAUAGAGAAGAAAAAUAACUUAUUUUUAGAACGUAUCGAUAAACUUCCGAUGCAUUUUCUCGCGAUAUAUGCAUAACUUUUAAGCGAUAAUAUCGAUGAAUAAAAUAUAAGAAUACAAUGUAUGAUAUAGAAAUGAAAAAUAUUAAAUGAAAAAAAGGGUAUUCUUAUAAUUUAUAAUCGACAUCGAAAAAAAAACAAUAUAGAUUGAUUAUUUCGUUUCUUUUUUCGAACUUAUCUAAACAUAAAAAUAUUAGUCUCUCUUAUGGGAAUAAUAAUUUCCUGUAAAGUGUUAUUAGACAUCAAAAAUUUCUAGUUCAUAAAGUCGAGUAUAAAGCAUCGUUUCGUUAUAAACGUUUUGAAAGGGUCGGAUCAAACUCGCUUUUUUAUAUUUUUCUCUUUUUCCUUUGCCUUUUUUCUUUUAUACGCCUCAACGAAUAAGUUGGAAAUUGAAGCUAAAAUCAUCGAUUUACACUUUCUCUAGUGAAGUUGAACAUCGGCCAAAGGAAAUAAAAGAAGAGGUGGAAUGAUGGACCGGGGAA